CUACGGCCACACCACCCUGAACGCGCCCGAUCUCCUCUGAUCUUGGAAGCUAAGCAGGGUGGGGCCUGGUUAGCACUUGGAUGGGAGGAUUAUUCAGAUUGUUUAACUCAUCUUAGUGGAGCUUUAGUGGUUUGUGGU
rnacentral:rRNA from 1 species